AUUGAACGCUGGCGGCAGGCCUAACACAUGCAAGUCGAGCGGCAGCGGAAAGUAGCUUGCUACUUUGCCGGCGAGCGGCGGACGGGUGAGUAAUGUCUGGGAAACUGCCUGAUGGAGGGGGAUAACUACUGGAAACGGUAGCUAAUACCGCAUAACGUCGCAAGACCAAAGAGGGGGACCUUCGGGCCUCUUGCCAUCAGAUGUGCCCAGAUGGGAUUAGCUAGUAGGUGGGGUAACGGCUCACCUAGGCGACGAUCCCUAGCUGGUCUGAGAGGAUGACCAGCCACACUGGAACUGAGACACGGCCCAGACUCCUACGGGAGGCAGCAGUGGGGAAUAUUGGACAAUGGGCGAAAGCCUGAUCCAGCCAUGCCGCGUGUGUGAAGAAGGCCUUUUGGUUGUAAAGCACUUUAAGCGAGGAGGAGCUACUUAGAUUAAUACUCUAGGAUAGUGGACGUUACUCGCAGAAUAAGCACCGGCU
rnacentral:rRNA from 1 species